UACAGAGGUGCCGAGCGUUAGGCGGAAUCACUGGGCUUAAAGCGUGCGUAGGCGGGCGUCUAAGUGUCUUGUGAAAUCCCACGGCUCAACCGUGGAACUGUUGGGCAUACUGGACGCUUUGAGGCACACAGGGGCGAGCGGAACAAGUGGUGGAGCGGUGAAAUGCGUAGAUAUGCGGAGGAACACCGAUGGCGAAGGCAAUCCCCUGGGCCUGCACUGACGCUCAUGCACGAAAGCGUGGGGAGCAAACAGG
rnacentral:rRNA from 1 species